CGGUCUUGAGUAAAGUGGCGCACGGGUGAGUAACACGUGACUAAUCUACCCUCGAGUGGGGAAUAACUGAGAGAAAUCUUAGCUAAUACCGCAUAACACUUACGAGUCAAAGCAGCAAUGCGCUUGGGGAGGAGGUCGCGGCCGAUUAGCUAGUUGGCGGGGUAAUGGCCCACCAAGGCGAUGAUCGGUAUCCGGCCUGAGAGGGCGCACGGACACACUGGAACUGAAACACGGUCCAGACUCCUACGGGAGGCAGCAGUGGGGAAUUUUGCGCAAUGGGGGAAACCCUGACGCAGCAACGCCGCGUGGAGGAUGAAGUAUCUUGGUACGUAAACUCCUUUCGAUGGGGAAGAUAAUGACGGUACCCAUAGAAGAAGCCCCGGCUAACUUCGUGCCAGCAGCCGC
rnacentral:rRNA from 1 species